rnacentral:rRNA from 1 species
AGAGUUUGAUCAUGGCUCAGAUUGAACGCUGGCGGCAGGCCUAACACAUGCAAGUCGAACGGUAACAGGAAGCAGCUUGCUGCUUCGCUGACGAGUGGCGGACGGGUGAGUAAUGUCUGGGAAACUGCCUGAUGGAGGGGGAUAACUACUGGAAACGGUGGCUAAUACCGCAUAACGUCGCAAGACCAAAGAGGGGGACCUUCGGGCCUCUUGCCAUCAGAUGUGCCCAGAUGGGAUUAGCUUGUUGGUGAGGUAACGGCUCACCAAGGCGACGAUCCCUAGCUGGUCUGAGAGGAUGACCAGCCACACUGGAACUGAGACACGGUCCAGACUCCUACGGGAGGCAGCAGUGGGGAAUAUUGCACAAUGGGCGCAAGCCUGAUGCAGCCAUGCCGCGUGUAUGAAGAAGGCCUUCGGGUUGUAAAGUACUUUCAGCGGGGAGGAAGGUGUUGUGGUUAAUAACCGCAGCAAUUGACGUUACCCGCAGAAGAAGCACCGGCUAACUCCGUGCCAGCAGCCGCGGUAAUACGGAGGGUGCAAGCGUUAAUCGGAAUUACUGGGCGUAAAGCGCACGCAGGCGGUCUGUCAAGUCGGAUGUGAAAUCCCCGGGCUCAACCUGGGAACUGCAUUCGAAACUGGCAGGCUUGAGUCUUGUAGAGGGGGGUAGAAUUCCAGGUGUAGCGGUGAAAUGCGUAGAGAUCUGGAGGAAUACCGGUGGCGAAGGCGGCCCCCUGGACAAAGACUGACGCUCAGGUGCGAAAGCGUGGGGAGCAAACAGGAUUAGAUACCCUGGUAGUCCACGCCGUAAACGAUGUCUACUUGGAGGUUGUGCCCUUGAGGCGUGGCUUCCGGAGCUAACGCGUUAAGUAGACCGCCUGGGGAGUACGGCCGCAAGGUUAAAACUCAAAUGAAUUGACGGGGGCCCGCACAAGCGGUGGAGCAUGUGGUUUAAUUCGAUGCAACGCGAAGAACCUUACCUGGUCUUGACAUCCACAGAACUUUCCAGAGAUGGAUUGGUGCCUUCGGGAACUGUGAGACAGGUGCUGCAUGGCUGUCGUCAGCUCGUGUUGUGAAAUGUUGGGUUAAGUCCCGCAACGAGCGCAACCCUUAUCCUUUGUUGCCAGCGGUCCGGCCGGGAACUCAAAGGAGACUGCCAGUGAUAAACUGGAGGAAGGUGGGGGAUGACGUCAAGUCAUCAUGGCCCUUACGACCAGGGCUACACACGUGCUACAAUGGCGCAUACAAAGAGAAGCGACCUCGCGAGAGCAAGCGGACCUCAUAAAGUGCGUCGUAGUCCGGAUUGGAGUCUGCAACUCGACUCCAUGAAGUCGGAAUCGCUAGUAAUCGUGGAUCAGAAUGCCACGGUGAAUACGUUCCCGGGCCUUGUACACACCGCCCGUCACACCAUGGGAGUGGGUUGCAAAAGAAGUAGGUAGCUUAACCUUCGGGAGGGCGCUUACCACUUUGUGAUUCAUGACUGGGGUGAAGUCGUAACAAGGUAACCGUAGGGGAACCUGCGGUUGGAUCACCU